UACGGGAGGCAGCAGUGGGGAAUAUUGCACAAUGGGCGCAAGCCUGAUGCAGCCAUGCCGCGUGUAUGAAGAAGGCCUUCGGGUUGUAAAGUACUUUCAGUCGUGAGGAAGGUGUUAAGGUUAAUAACCUUAGCAAUUGACGUUAGCGACAGAAGAAGCACCGGCUAACUCCGUGCCAGCAGCCGCGGUAAUACGGAGGGUGCGAGCGUUAAUCGGAAUUACUGGGCGUAAAGGGCACGCAGGCGGUUAAUUAAGUUGGAUGUGAAAUCCCCGGGCUUAACCUGGGAAUGGCAUUCAAGCUGGUUAGCUAGAGUCUUGUAGAGGGGGUAGAAUUCCAUGUGUAGCGGUGAAAUGCGUAGAGAUGUGGAGGAUACCGGUGGCGAAGGCGGCCCCUGGACAAGACUGACGCUCAUGUGCGAAAGCGUGGGGAGCAAACGAGGGAUUAGAUACC
rnacentral:rRNA from 1 species